AAUUUUCUAUUCCUAAACAAUAAUUUAUACAUCUAAUAUUUCUUAAAGUAAAUUUAUUUUCUGUGUAGUACUGAAAACAAAUGUUUUAUAUUCAUGUUAUUUAGAGUUCACAAUUAUGUUAAAUAACUUAGUAAACAAUAUUAUUAAUAUGAUGUUUGUGAACUUUUUUGGUAUUACAUAAUAUAAAGUACUAAAAAUAGAUGGAAAAUAAUAACUAUUCAAAAAAUUGAUAUGGAGUCUUGGUAGUACAAAAGAUUAUGUAUAUAUAUAUAUAUAUAUAGGUUAACUGAACUUAACCCGUCUUUAAUAGAAUGCAUCCAUGUUUCUGUCUCUCUUCUCAUUGUCUUAUGUUCUUGUUUCUGUCUCUCUUCUCAUGUCAUAUGUUGUUACAUCUCUGAAGUAGCAACGUGAAAGCAGUUGUUGCAUAAUCCUUGACUACACAGAUACAUUGAUUACAUCGUUAGCCACACUCUCUGACUCGGAACAUGACUAAUACUGAAACAUGAUUUAUUGUAAUUUGAUACAGCUUUCUACAUUUUAGAAUAUGUUUUCGUUUUUGAAAACAAUUAAACACCAAACACUUUUACAGGGUUUCCUCAAAGAAUUGAAAACCAUACAGUACAACAUAGACACCACAUCUCACUCUGCACACUAUACAUUACAUUCCAAAAAACAGAACAAAAUUAAAGCCAUAACAAUUUAGCCUGUAUAUAUCUCU
rnacentral:lncRNA from 1 species